rnacentral:rRNA from 1 species
AUUGAACGCUGGCGGCAGGCCUAACACAUGCAAGUCGAGCGAGCGGCGGACGGGUGCGUAAUGUAUGGGGAUCUGCCCGAUCGAGGGGGAUAACUACUGGAAACGGUAGCUAAUACCGCAUACCAUCAGAUGUGCCCAUAUGGGAUUAGCUUGUAGGUGAUGUAACGGCUCACCUAGGCGACGAGCCCUAGCUGGUCUGAGAGGAUGAUCAGCCACACGGGGACGGAGACACGGCCCAGACUCCGACGGGAGGCAGCAGUGGGGAAUAUUGCACAAUGGGCGCAAGCCUGAUGCAGCCAUGCCGCGUGUAUGAAGAAGGCCUUCGGGUUGUAAAGUACUUUCAGUCGGGAGGCGUUACCGACAGAAGAAGCACCGGCUAACUCCGUGCCAGCAGCCGCGGUAAUUC